UACGUAGGGGGCUAGCGUUGUCCGGAUUUAUUGGGCGUAAAGAGCGUGUAGGCGGCCAGGUAGGUCUGGUGUGAAAACUCGAGGCUUAACCUCGAGAUGUCAUCGGAAACCAUCUGGCUAGAGUCCGGAAGAGGAGAGUGGAAUUCCUGGUGUAGCGGUGAAAUGCGCAGAUAUCAGGAAGAACACCAAUGGCGAAAGCAGCUCUCUGGGACGGUACUGACGCUGAGACACGAAAGCGUGGGUAGCAAACAGG
rnacentral:rRNA from 1 species